rnacentral:rRNA from 1 species
CCUACGUUGAGCAGCAGUGAGGAAUAUUGGUCAAUGGGCGAGAGCCUGAACCAGCCAAGUCGCGUGAAGGAUGACGGCCCUACGGGUUGUAAACUUCUUUUGUCAGGGAGCAAUUGGGUCCACGCGUGGGCUUAGUGAGAGUACCUGAAGAAAAAGCAUCGGCUAACUCCGUGCCAGCAGCCGCGGUAAUACGGAGGAUCCGAGCGUUAUCCGGAUUAAUUGGGUUUAAAGGGAGCGUAGAUGGGUUGUUAAGUCAGUUGUGAAAGUUUGCGGCUCAACCGUAAAAUUGCAAUUGAUACUGGCAGCCUUGAGUACAGUUGAGGUAGGCGGAAUUCGUGGUGUAGCGGUGAAAUGCUUAGAUAUCACGAAGAACUCCGAUUGCGAAGGCAGCCUACUAAACUGCCACUGACAUUGAUGCUCGAAAGUGUGGGUAUCAAACAGGAUUAGAUACCCUUGUAGUC